rnacentral:pre_miRNA from 1 species
GGUAAGUGCACCUUGGGUGAACAUGUACUUAACGUGGGUAUAUAUCACUCGGCUUGGCCCACUACC